UAUUCAUCUAUAUAUGUAUCUCAUGAUGUAUUCCAGGAUCUGCCACAGCAUUCCUGGAGUCAAGGCCGUUCAAAUUCUUCAAUAACAUAGCCUACAGCGUUUACUUAACGCAGUUCCCAAUUUUCUUCUACAUGUUGGUGUGCAAAGACAUGCAGAGUUCUACACGCCUUUACUACUCCUGCAUGCUCCCGAAAUGCUGGCAGUCCUAGUGAUAUCAAUAAUGGCGACUGUGGCCAUCGAGAUGCCCUUCAACCAAGUCUACAGGAUAUAUUUCGGUAAUUCACAGAAAAAAUUAAAGGAGAUAUAGAAAUGAAGACAAAUUAAAAUAAUGAGUGCUGUGUUAUUAUAAUUAAUAUUUAGAAGUAGCCAAAAACAUCACCUAGGUAUUUAAAGCGUAUGACUAUUUUUAUAUUUUGAAUACUUAGACGUAAUUUAAGACAUAAUGGACAAAUAAAAUAAAACUUUUUUAUUUAUAAAA